rnacentral:rRNA from 1 species
GAUGAACGCUGGCGGCGUGCCUAAUACAUGCAAGUCGAGCGAACAGACGAGGAGCUUGCUCCUCUGACGUUAGCGGCGGACGGGUGAGUAACACGUGGAUAACCUACCUAUAAGACUGGGAUAACUUCGGGAAACCGGAGCUAAUACCGGAUAACAUGUUGAACCACAUGGUUCAACAGUGAAAGACGGUCUUGCUGUCACUUAUAGAUGGAUCCGCGCCGCAUUAGCUAGUUGGUAAGGUAACGGCUUACCAAGGCAACGAUGCGUAGCCGACCUGAGAGGGUGAUCGGCCACACUGGAACUGAGACACGGUCCAGACUCCUACGGGAGGCAGCAGUAGGGAAUCUUCCGCAAUGGGCGAAAGCCUGACGGAGCAACGCCGCGUGAGUGAAGAAGGUCUUCGGAUCGUAAAACUCUGUUAUUAGGGAGAACAAAUGUGUAAGUAACUAUGCACGUCUUGACGGUACCUAAUCAGAAAGCCACGGCUAACUACGUG